rnacentral:rRNA from 1 species
UACGUAGGUGGCGAGCGUUGUCCGGAUUUACUGGGCGUAAAGAGCGUGCAGGCGGUCGUGCAAGUCGCGUGUGAAAGCCCCCGGCUCAACUGGGGAGGGUCACGCGAUACUGCUCGACUUGAAGGCAGGAGAGGGAAGUGGAAUUCCCGGUGUAGUGGUGAAAUGCGUAGAUAUCGGGAGGAACACCAGUGGCGAAGGCGACUUCCUGGCCUGUUCUUGACGCUGAGGCGCGAAAGCUAGGGUAGCAAACGGG